AUGUGGAAGGAAGAUGACCCCAGGUGGCCAGGAGCAGACCAGCUAGAGAGAGAUGAAUAUGUUCAACAUCUAAAAGGAGAGAGGGCCUCGUGGCAGCAGAGGGUGUGGAAAAUGUCAGAGGAGGUUUGCACAUUGAAGGAGGAGAAGAAGCAUGACAUGCAUCGGGUACAGGAGAUGGAGAGGAUCUUGGCUGAACUCAAAAGCUAGAUGGCUGAACCCCUGCCCCCAGAGCCCCCAGCAGGGCCCUCUGAGGUGGAACAGCAGCUACAAGCUGAGGCCGAGCACCUGAGGAAGGAGCUGGAGAGUCUGGCAGGACAGCUCCAAGCUCAGGUGCAAAACAAUCAAGGCUUGAGUCACUUGAACUGGGAGCAGGAGGAGAGGCUGCUGGAACAGGAGCGGAAAGCCAAGCUCUGGGAGGAGCAGGCAGAGAUGCGCAUGCAGACCCCGCGGAACCGCACCACCAUCAACCGCGCGCUCUCUCAGAACCGGGAGCUGGACUAGCAGCUGGCUGGGCCACAGAGCUGCUUAGAGGAGCUGAACAAUGAGAAUAAGAGUGCACUGCAGUUGGAGCAGCAAGUAAAGGAGCUGCAGGAGAAGCUGGGCAAGCUGAAGGAGACCGUGGAGCUGAAGAGCCAAGAGGCUUAGAGUCUGCAGCAGCAGGGAGAGCAGUCCCUGGGUCACCUGCAGCAGUAAGUGGCUCCCUAUCAGCGGCUGACCUCUGAGAAGGAGGCGCAGCAUAGGCAGUUACUGCUGCACACCCAGCUCAUGGACCAGCUGCAGCAGCAGGAAGCUCAGGGCAAAGCAGUGGCUGAGGUGGCCCACUAAAAUUUGCAGGAGACCCAGGAGCGCCUGGAAGGUACCAGCCAGCAGAACCAGCAGCUACAGGCCCAGUUGAGCCUCAUGGCACUCCCUAGGCAAGGAGAUGGAGGAGAACAUCUGGACAACGAGGAAGAGGAGGUGCCUUGGCCCAUGCUGAGCAUCCCAGAGGACCUGGAAAGCAGGGAGGUAAUGGUGGCAUUUUUCAACUCCACUGGAGCCAGUGCCCAGGAGGAGCAGGCAUGGCUAUGUGGGAAGCUGAAGGAGCUGAAGGAGCCAGUGCCCAGGUGCAGGCAUGGCUAUAAGGAGCCAGAGGCAGUGGAACCCGCCCCAGGGACUGGGGAUGAGUCUGUGUGUGGGUAGACCCAUCAGGCCCUGCAGGGGGCCAUGGAGAAGUUGCAGAGCGGCUUUAUGGACCUCCUGAAGGAGAAGGUGGACCUGAAGGAGCGGGUGGAGAAACUGGAGCUUCUACCCAUCCACCUCUCAGGAGAGACAGACACCAUCAGAAAGUACAUCACAACAUAUUAGAGCCAGAAGGCAGCGCCAAAGACGCGGCACCAGGAGGAGGAGGACAUCAUCAGCGUGGCAGCUGAGCACCCCUCCCUUCAGGUGAAACUGCUGGAGCUGCAGGAGCUGGUGUUGCAGCUUGCAGGCGAUCACAACGAGGGGCAUGGCAAAUUCCUGGCCGCUGCCCAGAACCCUGCUGAUGAUCCUGCUCCAGGGGCCCCAGCCCCUCAGAAGCUUGGGGCUGCUGACAAGCAGGGUGAUUUUUGUGAGGUGAGCCGACAGCCUGGAGCCUGCCCCAGGAGAGGCCAGGGAGGGUUGUCCCCAUGACAGCCCCACUGCACAGCAGCUCAUGCAGCUGCUUCCUGAGAUGCGGGACCCCCAGGAGUACCCAGGCUUGGGCAGCAGCCCCUGCAUGCCAUUCUUUUACCAGGCUGCCAAGAACAGGGAGCUAAACACCACCGUCAUCUAA